CCUACGGGAUGCAGCAGUGGGGAAUAUUGGACAAUGGGCGCAAGCCUGAUCCAGCCAUACCGCGUGUGUGAAGAAGGCCUUUUGGUUGUAAAGCACUUUAAGCGAGGAGGAGGCUACUUGGAUUAAUACUCUAGGAUAGUGGACGUUACUCGCAGAAUAAGCACCGGCUAACUCUGUGCCAGCAGCCGCGGUAAUACAGAGGGUGCGAGCGUUAAUCGGAUUUACUGGGCGUAAAGCGUGCGUAGGCGGCUUUUUAAGUCGGAUGUGAAAUCCCUGAGCUUAACUUAGGAAUUGCAUUCGAUACUGGGAAGCUAGAGUAUGGGAGAGGAUGGUAGAAUUCCAGGUGUAGCGGUGAAAUGCGUAGAGAUCUGGAGGAAUACCGAUGGCGAAGGCAGCCAUCUGGCCUAAUACUGACGCUGAGGUACGAAAGCAUGGGGAGCAAACAGGAUUAGAUACCCUUGUAGUC
rnacentral:rRNA from 1 species